rnacentral:lncRNA from 1 species
CUGGGGCUACCUGAACCCUUCUAGAAAUAGCAUUCUCCAGCGGGCACUUACAGCAGAAGCAGAGAGGGUUCAAGUUUCUCCAGCCCCUGACCUGCCUAAUCCUAUUAAUGCUCAUUCUAAAUGUUUAAGGCAAAGCCUACCUAUCCUGACUGAUUAACCAUCUUCCAGAGAUCUCCACAUUGGGAAAAAAUGAUUGGGGGCGGGGAUGGAAUCCUCCCUCUCAUAUGCAGUCUUCCCUCCAUUUAGGUACCCUCAGUACAGAAACUGAGGAGGAUUCAGGAAUGGAAGGGUCCAACGAAAGCACUGGAUUUCCAUGCUUCCCUCUGGGUUCAGGGAUCGGCCACCCUGGCCUCAACCUACACCCCGACCAUUAUCUAUGGGCGCCGAACAGGAAAAACUAGCACCUCAAUCAGGGACUCUUAACAGAAGAGUGGCAACAGAGAGAAUGAGGGAGCAGCCCAGAUGUGUCAUGGAUGGCUACCAGAGAGCAGUGGAGAUGCCUUGUCCACAAUGUACAUGCACACUCAGCUGAGCUGUUUCAUCAAAGCAGGAAGAUGACAUAACUAGAAAACAUCAUCAGCUUUACACGUCAGAAGCAUGAACUGCCUUUCUAUAUUUCUGCCCUAAUGACGUAGAUUGCCUGUAUGUGUGAUCCCUCAUCCAUAUGGCCUGAUCACGUGCAUUUCUGAUAUGUAAACUUCUGUUGUGUUAUUUCUAUGACUGCCCAACUUUCCUGAUGUGUAUUUGUGGGAGAGUAUACCCCACAUCUACAGGGUACACCUCCUAUUACUAGUUUUCUCAUGCUAUUUUAUGAAAUGCCUUUGCUUGGAGGUAAUUAUGUUUUCUGCCUCACUAGUAAAAAUGCAGACAUUGGUAGGAGCUCAUUAGCUUUGUUUUUGAGUAGAAAAAGACUCACAGGGUAUUUUGAAUCUUGAUAUAGAUUUUUCUCAGAAUGUACACAUGGAUGAAAUGGAGUGUCCUGGAUGUUUUACUAUUAAUACUCAAAUUAAAAAGCAAACAAACAAAAAUCAAUUUGCCUUACUUCCUGUAAGGGUCUCUCUGGAGUAGGCUUGGAUUUUUUUCCCUCUCCAGAAUUCUUCAGAGGAAAGAUGGAUGGCCACUUGUGUAGUAUAUUUGUAGAGGGCAUUCCUGUUGGGGUGUAUAUGUCUUAGUUUUUGUGACUCCUUCCAACUCUGAGUGAGUUGUGUGAUUCUUAUUUUGUGAAUAAUAUCCAGAAGAGUGAGCCUUCAUGCUGUGUUGUGCUCCAUGUUGCAGCCAUCUGUCUAAGAGAGUUUAAAGGGAAGAGGGAAAGGCAAGGAAGAGCUAAUCCUGAGCAUUAUCCAUUAUAAACAUGACCACUGUCAAGAUAAGUCAAAUUUAGAGUCUAGCCAUCUUGACAGCUGCUUCCUUUAGAGACUCUUUUCUCUUUCAUUGUGACUGUCAUUGGUUUUAAGGAAUGUAACUGACUGUAACUCAAGAAGGUGAUGUGUCAGAUGGGAAGUUGUUUUAGAACUAGAGGCACUGGUGGAAAAGGAGACAUUGUUAAUGUACAGGAAUCAGCAGAAGGCUUUGCUUUUCAUAAUUUUUCACAAGGCAACUUUUUCUCUUCUCUCCACAACACAGCUGAGAGACACAUACAUAAUUAAAAGUAAAUUAAAUAACUUCUUCCCAAUUCUGUCUCUACCCACUAAUACAACUUAUUGUUAGUGAUUUAUUUUGUCAGGGAAAUGAAACUGAUUAAAGCACAGUUUUGGAGAAAUUUUCUAGGAAGAAGGCAAACUCCUAUGACAGAAUCUCCACCAAAUAUGUUGUGUAGGAAAAUGAAUGAUCCCUUUUCAACUUACAUGGAAUUCAAAUGCAGUCCCUUAAUACAAAAACGAAACAACAUAGUAAGGAGAAAUCUUUUCCAGAAUAUUUACUAGAGCUCCUGAAAUAAGCAUAUAGAACCACAUAGUUAUGUGGCUGAAAAACUAGAGAGGUCAUUUUUUUCUCCAAGAAUUCAGGUCAGAUUAUACCAAAAAUACUGGAAGAAUAAAAUACAUAAUUCUUAUAAUUUUCCA